rnacentral:lncRNA from 1 species
AAUAAAUAUCCGUUCCUUUUCUGUUAACAUCAGUAACUCUGCUUGCCAUUUCUCAACUCACCAACCAAGAGUUCCUCCCCAUCGCUUACUGUUGAGAGAUCAAGAGGAACGAAGCCUGAGAAUGACAUUGGAUUUAGCAACCAACGGAUCAUCGGCGACAUGGCAGCGAGCGUUUUCAUUUGGCUGGUGAAACCAGAAUGCGAGAGAUCGGGAAGUCGUGGGUCAAUUUGAAGAAAGAAAAAAAGAAACGAACCCCCAAACCUCCUAUAUUUCGAGUGGGAAGGAGGGACCAUCUGACCUUUGAGGGUCCUUCCAGGAGGACUGAAGGAAGAGGAUGUCAGUAGCACCGAUAAUUAACCCACCAAUCAACCAGUGCCAGUGAUAUGUCAAGCUCUAGGCAUACAAAUGCCCUCAGAGAGUUUACAUUCUAAUGGAAAGACGGAAACAAUGGCUGGAAAAUCCAGGGUUCAAAUCUUGCUUAUGGUACUUUAAGCAAAUCACUUCAUUCUCUGUGCCUCAGUUUCCUCAUCUGUAAAACGAGGGGGUUGCCUUGGAUGACUUCUGAGGAACCUUCCUGCUGUGUCCUGGGGUGGAAUAAGCUCAGCUCCCUGAGGUCAGACUUCUUUUGCCCACCUGGAUGGGUCCCAGACCUCUCCAGAUGUCUUUCCCAGGGAGGUGAGCCUUCUAGCGAACAGGAACUCCUCCUUCCUAAACCGGAUAUGGGCUAAAGGACAAGGGGCCCGGAGUUGUUUUUUUCCCUUUCCUGACAUCCCUCCUUCUCCUUGGGGAUGGUUUCCUCAGCAAUGCAGGCAGCAGCUGUGGCUCGCAGCCCUCCCCAGAGCUUAGGAAUGUUUCCGUCCUCUCCCUCAAUCUUAAUGAGCCAUCAAGAGUGAGCAGCUUCCAGAGGGUCUGGGAGGGAGGGAGAGAGUCUUUCCCAUCAACCUCCUGCCCGUUUCCUGCUCCUUAACCUGGUAUCCAGGAACUUGGUUUUGGUCUCCAACAUUUGUAUAACUACUUCAAUAUAAUUGUUUUCCU